rnacentral:rRNA from 1 species
CGGAUUGUAGUCUGCAACCCGACUACAUGAAGCCGGAAUCGCUAGUAAUCGCGGAUCAGAAUGCCGCGGUGAAUACGUUCCCGGGUCUUGUACACACCGCCCGUCACACCAUGGGAGCCAGGAAUGCCCGAAGCCAGUGGCCUAACCGCAAGGGAGGAGCUGUCGAAGGCAGGCCCGGUAACUGGGGUGAAGUCGUAACAAGGUAUC